AAAUUGCCGCUGUAGGUCCCGCCCUUCUUCCCCGUGUCUGCAGCAUUGUUUGUGUGUGCGGGAGAGAUCCGACAUGAGGAAGAAACUGCUAAGCUGUGCAGCGUGAGAGUCCGUGUUGUUUAAGUCAGAAAAAAUACUAGACAUGAACUGGAAACGAACCCUUUUCCAAAUAUGCUUACUGUUUAUCAUCCAACUUCUGAGCUGGAAGUAGUGAAGUGAGUAAACAGACUGAACUUCACUUUUUCUGCCGAGCAUGUUUGAGCUACCUCGUUAGCCUCGUUAGCUCUAAUUGGCUAUUGGUUUCCUGGAAGUUCAUCUCGUUCUCCGUUCAGCUGAAGUGUCCCACGUGUCCGGACUGAGAGCCACCAUAUUGUUGUCCCAAAUGUGUCGUGUUGAGAUCGGUCAGGAUUUUAGGUGGCUUCCUCCUGUGUUUUUGGUUCCCACCUGGACUUGGAGAAAGAACUGGAUUCCUUCUUUUCCAUUUGGAGUCCUGCUGCACCGUCCUCUGUGGUAGGCCUGUAUCACUCACAUCUUCACACACAGUUGGUUAUGCGUGAGACCACUGACAGACAUUUUUCAUUCCUUUUGUUUCAUUCUGGAAUUUUGGAGAUUACCUUUUUGAGAAGUUUUAUUUUGGGACAUUAUAACAAACUGCUGUGUAGGAAAUUCUCCUCAUGUGAAUGGUGUUGAGUCGAAUCUGAAUUGGAACUGAAUUUGAUUAAUCUGUUUAUCGCGGUUUAGAAUUCAGAUUACCAGGAUGCACCCAAAAUAUUUAAAACUGA